CGCUCGCGGGGGCGGGUGAGCCGGGAGGGUCCGGUCCGCGACCGGGACGAGCGUCGGAGCCGGGAGCUGCGGCCGCUGGGAGGGAAUUCGUGGGAGCUGUCGCUGGCGGCUGCUCGAGGCCGGGUUCCCGCGUCGCUGAGGCCGGAUUCCCGCUGCAGGCACCGCGUCUGCGGAAGCUCCGACGGCGGCGUCCGUGCGGGGCACCCACCAGAUGCUUCAUGUUUGUCUCUCCGUUGCCCUCUUGAGUUCAAAACGUGCAAGACACCAUUUUGAUAGUAGCUGGACGCAGCUGAAUGUUACAUAUUUCUCUCUUGAAAACAGCCUGUAUAACGUGUCAGGAUAUGCUUUUUUCAGCUGCAUUGAAGACACCACCACCUUCAUUAAGAUACUACUCAUUACCUGGAAAGCUUGCUGGACUGUAACCUCAGAUGCGAAGCCGCUUUUGUUAAAUGGUCAUCAGGUUUCUGAGCCACUCGCCUGGCAGUUGAGCAUCGGUGUUUGGAGUGAUUUCCGUUUUGGAGACAUACGGGAUGAGAAGACUGAGGAGUUGCCCGCUCGGCUCAGCGGUGUUGCAGGGGGGCUGCCGGUGGCUGCAAUGACUGACAGGCUGCCCUGGCUCAGUUAUCACAGUGCUGAUGCUGUCUCUUGUAAAGGUACAGUACUGUGAUAACUGAAGGAUGGCAGCCAUCUGAGCUUCACAGGGCUGCCCGGCCAAGAGCAGGGUUUCCCUUAGAGCUGGGGGACUGAAGGACUGACUUACACAACUACGAUGCAGCACGGUGCUGAAGUGGAAGAUGCUCAUUUUAAGUGCACCUCUUAACUCAGCCGAAGGGGAGGGGGGAAUCGAUGGUUAAGGUACUUCUGGUUUUACUUGAAUAAAAAUUAUGCUUCAUCUCUCUUGAGAGUUUGC
rnacentral:lncRNA from 1 species